rnacentral:rRNA from 1 species
GAGGAAUAUUGGUCAAUGGGCGAGAGCCUGAACCAGCCAUCCCGCGUGCAGGAUGACGGCCCUAUGGGUUGUAAACUGCUUUUCUGCUCCAAGAAACCCAUCUACGUGUAGGUGGUUGACGGUAGAGUAAGAAUAAGCAUCGGCUAACUCCGUGCCAGCAGCCGCGGUAAUACGGAGGAUGCAAGCGUUAUCCGGAUUCAUUGGGUUUAAAGGGUGCGCAGGUGGGAAUGUAAGUCAGUGGUGAAAUACUGCCGCUUAACGGUAGAGCUGCCAUUGAUACUGCGUUUCUUGAGUAUGGUUGAGGUAGGUGGAAUGUGUUGUGUAGCGGUGAAAUGCAUAGAUAUGACACAGAACGCCGAUUGCGAAGGCAACUUACUAAGCCAUUACUGACGCUGAGGCACGAAAGCGUGGGUAGCGAAC